rnacentral:lncRNA from 1 species
CGGCGAUGGGACGGAGGUGGGUUGCACGGUGGGUGAGCGUGGGAGGAGAAGAACCGAAGCGUAAGGAAAUGGAGGUGGAACGAGACGAGAAGUGAUGUGCAGAGGAAAGAGUGGGAGAGAAAGAGGAGCGGAUUGGGGUCGUGAUGGAGAGAGUCGUCGCUGCCAUUGUCACUCUCUUCCUUCUCUCUCGCUCUGAAUGUGUAUGAGAUGAAGAAAGGCGAGGAUAAAAUGACAAAGGAUAAGGGGUAGUUUGGGCAAUAAAAUAUAUGCGUAUAAGUCUACUAUCAUGCGCUUAUGAACAUAGAAGAAAGUAAAAAGGAAGGGGCGUUCCGAGAAUCGAACUCGGGACCUCUCGCACCCAAAGCGAGAAUCAUACCACUAGACCAAACGCCCUUGUUGUUUUGUUUGCUUCUUAUAUAUUUGAUUUUGAAAAGAUACCAUGUAAAGGAAUGUAAUUACUUGGUAACCUCUUGUACAGUGUUUUGUAGUGAGACAUACCUUCACUUCAAGAGAAGCAUCGGUCUUCUAGAACUAAUAAUUUUGAAGGAAUGUAAUCACUUCGUAACCUCUUCUACAAUGUUGUUUGUGUGUUUAGCAUCGAUCUUCUAGAACAUUGUGAUACAAGCGAUGAAAUGGUUAAGGAUGCUGAAUACAGGUGGCAUAAAACGUACAUUCUUCAAACUUUAGAGAUAUCCAUUCCUAAUUUUAGCUACUUGAGCAUAUUAUACGUUCAAGCUUUUUGAAACAAUCACAAUACUUUUCCGAGCACUGGUAUAAACAUUGAGAAAACGUAAUAUGCGUUGUUUAGGUUGUAUUUACUAGCGGUCGUGACAAGUUUCAUAGACUUUCCUUUGAUGGUUUUAGCUCUUUAGAAUUGCUCCACUUCAUCGUAACCUUUCUUUAGUUGUUGUUGUAGUUUUGAAACUUUUGAUUGAGAAGUUACUACUAUAUGCACUGGUAGAAACAACAAAAGGUACUUAUAACCACAUUCUAAUCAAAUGCGUUUCAUCUUAUAACCACAUUCUCUUCUUGAAGAUUUAUUUUAUCACUAGACGAUGACAUACGUUGCUGAAGUUUUUUUUAAGGUGGCUACAUUACAGAACAAUGAGAUCACUAGGUCGAGCCUUUUAUAUACAUAUGUCACGUAACUUCGCGUGUGAGUGAGUGAGUGACUCAUUUCACACAGGUGCCAGUGGCUGAAUCAGUUGUAAGAAACGCAAACUGAUUCACAUUAUAAUAUUUUCUCAGAGCUGAAUCAAUAAUUUCAGACACAAACUAUGCUAAACAACAACACAACAAGAAACAAAUCAUACACAACUUCAAGAAAGAAAAAAACACUUUUACGCAAUGGAAACCUUAGCGCCAGCUUCUUCAAGCUGCUUCUUAGCUUCUUCAGCUUCAUCCUUAGUCACACCUUCCUUAAACUUCUUCGGCAACCCUUCGAUAAGCUCCUUCGCUUCCUUCAACGCCAAGCUAGUCAGAGCCCUAACCGCUUUGAUCACCGCGAUACGCGCAUUGCUAGGCACUUCGUUGAUGACCACAUCGAACUCCGUCUGCUCCUCCACCGCAGCCGCCGCACCAUCACCGCCUCCCGGAGCAGCCACAGCCGCUGCCGCGGGAGCUAAGGAGAGCGGCGAGACGCCGAACUUGUCCUGGAGGUAGUCCACGAGGAUGCGUGCUUCCUCGAGAGUGAGGGACGAGAUUUCGGAUCCGAUCUUCUCGAUUUUCUCCGGGGCCUCGACGGCGGCGAUGGGACGGAGGUUGGUUGAGCGGUGGGUUAGUGUCGGAGAAGAUGAACCGAGGCGAAAGGGAAAUGCGGUUGCGUUUGGUCGGGAAGGGAAGGUUUGGGGAGAAGCGGGAGUGAGGCGAGACGAGGAGAGGAUUGUGGUUGCGAUGGAAAGAGUCGUCG